AGCUUAGAAAAUUCAGGGUUUGUGUAAUUAACCCUAAGAAGAACAAAGGCAAAAGCUUAAACCAUGGCUGUUGCAGUGUUAGAACUGGCUUUGAUCCGCGAAGUUGUGCUCAUAAAUUGUAUUUCAAAAGAAUUUAACUACCAUAGCUCAAAUGUAUUCGUGACAACAGAUUGCAUGCUCUAUGACAACAUUAGAAAUAUUUAAAACCAAAAGCAUGGGAUGCAAAUCUCUCUCCUACCCUCCUCCCUCCUCACUCACAUGCACACAAGCAUGGGAUGAUAUAUCUUUUCUAUCAUACAUAUACAUGUACAUAUAAAAAUGUAGAAGAUGCUACCUAACCUUGGUUAUAAAGCCUAAGCCCAAAACAUGAAUGUAUCAGAGAUCCAAGACAGGAAUUUCUUGGAUGCAUCUGACCAUUACCCUAGGGAAAAACAAUAAUGUUACUCGUA
rnacentral:misc_RNA from 1 species